rnacentral:rRNA from 1 species
CAUAGGUUAAUGAGGCGAACCGGGGGAACUGAAACAUCUAAGUACCCCGAGGAAAAGAAAUCAACCGAGAUUCCCCCAGUAGCGGCGAGCGAACGGGGAGGAGCCCAGAGCCUGAAUCAGUGUGUGUGUUAGUGGAAGCGUCUGGAAAGGCGCGCGAUACAGGGUGACAGCCCCGUACACAAAAAUGCACAUAUUGUGAGCUCGAUGAGUAGGGCGGGACACGUGGUAUCCUGUCUGAAUAUGGGGGGACCAUCCUCCAAGGCUAAAUACUCCUGACUGACCGAUAGUGAACCAGUACCGUGAGGGAAAGGCGAAAAGAACCCCGGCGAGGGGAGUGAAAAAGAACCUGAAACCGUGUACGUACAAGCAGUGGGAGCCUCUUAAUGGGGUGACUGCGUACCUUUUGUAUAAUGGGUCAGCGACUUAUAUUCUGUAGCAAGGUUAACCGAAUAGGGGAGCCGAAGGGAAACCGAGUCUUAACUGGGCGUUAAGUUGCAGGGUAUAGACCCGAAACCCGGUGAUCUAGCCAUGGGCAGGUUGAAGGUUGGGUAACACUAACUGGAGGACCGAACCGACUAAUGUUGAAAAAUUAGCGGAUGACUUGUGGCUGGGGGUGAAAGGCCAAUCAAACCGGGAGAUAGCUGGUUCUCCCCGAAAGCUAUUUAGGUAGCGCCUCGUGAAUUCAUCUCCGGGGGUAGAGCACUGUUUCGGCAAGGGGGUCAUCCCGACUUACCAACCCGAUGCAAACUGCGAAUACCGGAGAAUGUUAUCACGGGAGACACACGGCGGGUGCUAACGUCCGUCGUGAAGAGGGAAACAACCCAGACCGCCAGCUAAGGUCCCAAAGUCAUGGUUAAGUGGGAAACGAUGUGGGAAGGCCCAGACAGCCAGGAUGUUGGCUUAGAAGCAGCCAUCAUUUAAAGAAAGCGUAAUAGCUCACUGGUCGAGUCGGCC